UACGAAGGGGGCUAGCGUUACUCGGAUUGACUGGGCGUAAAGGGCGCGUAGGCGGUUCGUACAGUCAGACGUGAAAUUCCUGGGCUCAACCUGGGGGCUGCGUUUGAUACGUGCGGGCUUGAGUUCGGAAGAGGGUCGUGGAAUUCCCAGUGUAGAGGUGAAAUUCGUAGAUAUUCGCAAGAACACCAGUGGCGAAGGCGGCUCACUGGCCCGGUACUGACGCUGAGGUGCGAAAGCGUGGGGAGCAAACAGG
rnacentral:rRNA from 1 species